UACAGAGGUCUCAAGCGUUGUUCGGAUUCAUUGGGCGUAAAGGGUGCGUAGGCGGCUUGGUGGGUCUGGUGUGAAAAGCCCCGGGCUCAGCCCGGGAAGGGCACUAGAAACUGCCGAGCUGGAGUGCCGGAGGGGAGAGUGGAAUUCCUGGUGUAGCGGUGAAAUGCGUAGAGAUCAGGAAGAACAUCGGUGGCGAAGGCGCUCUGCUGGACCAUAACUGACACUCAGGGACGAAAGCUAGGGGAGCGAAUGGG
rnacentral:rRNA from 1 species